AGGAUGAACGCUGGCGGCGUGCCUAACACAUGCAAGUCGAACGUCCUGUCUCGCAAGAGGCAGGGAGUGGCGGACGGGUGAGUACCACGUGGGUCAUCUACCGUGAGGUGAGGAAUACCGGCGAGAAAUCGCCGACAAGACCGCAUAGCCUCGGUGCAAGUCGAGGAAAGCUCUCUCGAGAGAGGGAGCGCCACACGAGGAGCCUGCGCCCGAUUAGCUAGCUGGUGGAGUAAUGGUUCACCAGGGCGACGAUCGGUAGCUGGUCUGAGAGGACGAUCAGCCACACUGGGAUUGAGAACGGCCCAGACUCCUACGGGGGCAGCAGUGAGGAAUUUUCGUCAAUGGGGGCAACCCUGAACGAGCAACGCCGCGUGCAGGAAGAAGGUUUCGGAUCGUAAACUGCUUUUCUCGGGAAGAGAACGGACGGUACCCGAGGAAUCGAGCCCCGGCUAACUACGUGCCAGCAGCCGU
rnacentral:rRNA from 1 species